AUAUGUUUAAAGAUCUUUGUUUUCUUUUUCUUUAAUGUGGUGCAAAUCCAGACUACCUGCCACACUGCCAGAAAUUGCAAGUAUCUGUGAAACAAAGGGAUGUAUACUGUGGUUAUUAUUCUAAAAAGAGAAUGCAACACCUGAUGAUUCUACACAGCUUUAAAUCGAUGAGUCAAUCAAGUAUUUCCACCAGUGCAUUGAAGAAUUGAAUGUAAGCCAUAAAGCAUAUUUUUUACCUCUCUAGUACACAUGAAAGUGAGUGAGAGGAUUCUAGUUUUAGCUAACAUUUGCUGAUCACCUGAAUUACACUUUUAUUUUGACCCUUUAAAAACCUGUGGGUUUAUUUUAAUUGGUGUUGAGCAUUCAGUAGAAGGUUAUUAGU
rnacentral:lncRNA from 1 species